rnacentral:rRNA from 1 species
GACGAACGCUGGCGGCGUGCUUAACACAUGCAAGUCGAACGGAAAGGCCCCUUUGUUGGUACGCGAGUGGCUAACGGGUGGGUAACACGUGAGUAACCUGCCCUUGCCUUCGGGAUAACUUCAUGAAACUGGGGCUAAUACCUGAUAGGAAUCCUUUCUGCAUGGUUGGGGGUGGAAAGCUUCGGCGGGUUUUGGUGGACUCGCGGCUUAUCAGCUUGUUGGUGGGGUAGGGGCUUACCAAGGCUUUGACGGGUGGCCGGCCUGAGAGGGGGACCGGCCACAUUGGGAUGGAGAUACGGCCCAGACUCCUACGGGAGGCAGCAGUGGGGAAUUUUGCAAAAUGGGCGGAAGCCUGAUGCAGCAACGCCGCGUGCGGGAUUAAGGCCUUCGGGUUGUAAACCGCUUUCACCAGGGGCGAAGCGUGAGGGACGGGAAUGUGUAAAGAAACCCCCGCUAACUACGUG